GACGAACCGUGCAAACGUUGUUCGGAAUCACUGGGCUUAAAGGGCGCGUAGGUGGCGCCGCAAGUCCAUGGUGAAAGCUCGAUGCUCAACAUCGAGUCGGCCACGGAGACUGCGGGGCUCGAGCACUGUAGGGGCAGAUGGAAUUCCGGGUGUAGCGGUGGAAUGCGUAGAGAUCCGGAAGAACACCGGUGGCGAAGGCGACUACCUGGCCUGUUCUUGACGCUGAGGCGCGAAAGCUAGGGGAGCAAACGGGG
rnacentral:rRNA from 1 species